ACUCAAAUGAAUUGACGGGGGCCCGCACAAGCGGUGGAGUAUGUGGUUUAAUUCGACGCAACGCGAAGAACCUUACCAACCUUUGACAUGUCCAGUAUGGAUCCGAGAGAUCAGAUCCUUCAGUUCGGCUGGCUGGAACACAGAUGCUGCAUGGCUGUCGUCAGCUCGUGUCGUGAGAUGUUGGGUUAAGUCCCGCAACGAGCGCAACCCUCAUCUUCAGUUGCUACCAUUCAGUUGGGCACUCUGAAGAAACCGCCGGUGACAAGCCGGAGGAAGGUGGGGAUGACGUCAAGUCCUCAUGGCUCUUACAGGUUGGGCUACACACGUACUACAAUGGUGGUGACAAUGGGUCGCGAAGCCGCGAGGCGGAGCCAAUCCCCAAAAGCCAUCUCAGUUCAGAUUGCACUCUGCAACUCGAGUGCAUGAAGUUGGAAUCGCUAGUAAUCGCAGAUCAGCACGCUGCGGUGAAUACGUUCCCGGGCCUUGUACACACCGCCCGU
rnacentral:rRNA from 1 species